rnacentral:rRNA from 1 species
GGGCGUUUAGUAUUUGGUCGUAGACCCGAAACCAGGUGAUCUACCCUUGGUCAGGUUGAAGUUCAGGUAACACUGAAUGGAGGACCGAACCGACUUACGUUGAAAAGUGAGCGGAUGAACUGAGGGUAGCGGAGAAAUUCCAAUCGAACCUGGAGAUAGCUGGUUCUCUCCGAAAUAGCUUUAGGGCUAGCCUCAAGUGAUGAUUAUUGGAGGUAGAGCACUGUUUGGACGAGGGGCCCCUCUCGGGUUACCGAAUUCAGACAAACUCCGAAUGCCAAUUAAUUUAACUUGGGAGUCAGAACAUGGGUGAUAAGGUCCGUGUUCGAAAGGGAAACAGCCCAGACCACCAGCUAAGGUCCCAAAAUAUAUGUUAAGUGGAAAAGGAUGUGGCGUUGCCCAGACAACUAGGAUGUUGGCUUAGAAGCAGCCAUCAUUUAAAGAGUGCGUAAUAGCUCACUAGUCGAGUGACACUGCGCCGAAAAUGUACCGGGGCUAAACAUAUUACCGAAGCUGUGGAUUGUCCUUUGGACAAUGGUAGGAGAGCGUUCUAAGGGCGUUGAAGCAUGAUCGUAAGGACAUGUGGAGCGCUUAGAAGUGAGAAUGCCGGUGUGAGUAGCGAAAGACGGGUGAGAAUCCCGUCCACCGAUUGACUAAGGUUUCCAGAGGAAGGCUCGUCCGCUCUGGGUUAGUCGGGUCCUAAGCUGAGGCCGACAGGCGUAGGCGAUGGAUAACAGGUUGAUAUUCCUGUACCACCUAUAAUCGUUUUAAUCGAUGGGGGGACGCAGUAGGAUAGGCGAAGCGUGCGAUUGGAUUGCACGUCUAAGCAGUAAGGCUGAGUAUUAGGCAAAUCCGGUACUCGUUAAGGCUGA